rnacentral:lncRNA from 1 species
GAGUCACUCUUAACAAGACAGGAGAAAGCAGUUUCCUGCUUUCACGCCUUCCCUUUUUUCUUUUCUCUCUUCCUUCCUUCUUCCGUUCCUCUUCCUUCCCUCCCUCUUGACCUUCCUCUCUCCCUCCCUUCUUUCCUUCCUUCCUGUGGCUCUCCUUUGUGAGUGACCUACCUCCGCUUCCUACUCUGUGACUUUGCACAUUCAAUCAUUGCCUGGCUCCACCAGCAGUAUAUAAGGUGAAAGAGGAUCCUGCCAGCUGUUCUAGGCCCAGAGGACACCUCUCUCUCUCUCUCUGUCACUCACACACACACACACACACACACACACUCUCUCUCUCUCUCUCACACACACCCACUUAUUGAUGGGGUAAUAGGAUCAAGAGGUAGCUUUGCAUCAUCAAAAAGAAGUCAGUCAUUCUAGCCUGGAGCUUUAGAAGACGAAGUAAAAAAGAAGUCAGACAGUCCUAGCUUUGAAUCCUGGCCCAGCCACUUACUAGGUGGGAGACCUUGGGACAAUCGUAUCCCUUCUGGGGGAAUUUCCCCACCUCCAUGUUGAAGCCAAGGAUGACUAGUACUCCAUGGAAAAGAGGUCAACAUGAUAACCAGGAGAUGUGGUCAUGGGGCAUUAAAAGGUUCGAAGCUGUUCCAGAAAGGAUGUCAUUGAUGUGGAAUACAGGAACUGUGGAUGCCUCCUGAAUGGGAGCUGCAAACGAUUAUCAGAGUCAAGCAAGAGGAAUGGCAAGGCAUGUGCUGAAUAACAUCACAUUAAUAUGGCUCUUAGCUACCUAACCCAUUAGGAGCCAUAAUUAGGAGAGUUUGAAACAGACUGCAAGCAUCUUCUCCAGAAAGAAGCUAGAUCUCUCAGCAGAGUAAUUUUAUUUAAACUGAACUUGAAG